CGGAGGAUCCAAGCGUUAUCCGGAUUUAUUGGGUUUAAAGGGUGCGUAGGCGGCUUAUUAAGUCAGGGGUGAAAGACGGUGGCUCAACCAUCGCAGUGCCCUUGAUACUGAUGAGCUUGAAUGGACUAGAGGUAGGCGGAAUGUGACAAGUAGCGGUGAAAUGCAUAGAUAUGUCACCGAACACCGAUUGCGAAGGCAGCUUACUAUGGUUUUAUUGACGCUGAGGCACGAAAGCGUGGGGAUCAAACAGGAUUAGAUACCCUGGUAGUCCACGCCCUAAACGAUGAAUACUCGCUGUUAGCGAUAUACAGUUAGCGGCUAAGCGAAAGCGUUAAGUAUUCCACCUGGGGAGUACGCCCGCAAGGGCG
rnacentral:rRNA from 1 species